CUAAGAAUAUUCCGCAAUGGACGGAAGUCUGACGGAGCGACGCCGCGUGGAUGACGAAGGCCGAAAGGUUGUAAAGUUCUUUUGCUGGGGAAGAAUAACCGCAGGAGGGAAUGCCUGUGGGAUGACAAGAACCGGCGAAUAAGCCCCGGCCAACUACGUGCCAGCAGCCGCGGUAACACGUAGGGGGCGAGCGUUGUUCGGAAUUACUGGGCGUAAAGGGCAUGUAGGCGGCUUGGAAAGCCUGGCGUGAAAGUCUGCAGCUUAACUGCAGGGGUGCGCUGGGAACUGCUGAGCUUGAGUGACGGAGAGGGAGCUGGAAUUCCUGGUGUAGGGGUGAAAUCUGUAGAUAUCAGGAAGAACACCGAUGGCGAAGGCAAGCUCCUGGCCGAUGACUGACGCUGAGGUGCGAAAGUGUGGGGAUCAAAACAGGAUUAGAUACCCUGGUAGUCCACACAGUCAACGAUGUGCACUAGGUGCUGGGGCGGUAGCUUCGGUGCCGGAGCGAACGUGGUAAGUGCACCGCCUGGGGAGUAUGCUCGCAAGGGUGAAACUCAAAUGAAUUG
rnacentral:rRNA from 1 species